rnacentral:pre_miRNA from 1 species
CCAAAUUCUUAAGCUAAGAUUUGUAAAAAAAGGGCUCUUAUAUAAGAGCUUUUAGGCUUAUAUUUAAGCUUUUAUAUAAGAACCCUUUCUUCACAAAUCUUAGUUUAAGAUUUGG